UCUGGAAGCAUUUUGUGUAUGAGGUCUUCUCUAAAGUAUCCUCCUAUUCUCACUUCAAAUCCAACGUAUCAGAUACUUCCUCUUCUGGGUCUACAUAGCAUUCCAUAUUUAAUUUAAUCUCAUACAAUAUUGCAAAUCUUUUGUUUGCAUACUUAUCUGCAUUUGUUAGUCAGCCACUUUAUGCAGAGACCUUAUCCUAUCUAUCUUUGUAACCCGUCACCAAGAUAAAGCCUGGCACAAAGUUGGUGCUUAAAUGUUGGCUAAAUGAGCAAAUGAAUACAUUUAUUUGAACAAAUUGGGUAUCUUAGUAAGGAUAUUAAAUGACAGAAGUGGGAACCUGAAUGGAUACUCUGCCUACUCCAUUAUCUUAACUAGUGUAAUUUUUAAUGUUGGGGGAUAAAUCUCUGACCCAAGGUAGGAAAAGUAAAUGGCUAAGAAGUGGGCCUUCUAACCCUCUACUCUAUAUUCCCCUUACUUGUUUCUUCAGUUGUGUCCCUUUUCUUGUGCUGAAAGGAAUUCUGAUAUCCCAGUAGAUACAAGUUGAAGAAGGCCAUCUUAGCUCUUCCCUGACCUCUUCUGGAAUGUCCAGGCUGGAGCACCACACUGGUAACCAUGCUUGGGAAGUUUCUAUCGGCAUAUCUUCAAAUUCACUGAUUCUUUCCUUGAUUGUGAUCAAUCUACUAAGUCCAUCAAAGGCAUUCUUCAUUUCUCUGAAACAAGCUAGAGGAGGCUGGAGUUGGUUGUUUUCCUUCUCCCACAUUGGUUAGGCCAGCGGUGGGCAACCUUUUUGUGAGUGCGUGCCAAACCCAGCAAAAUCUCUGACUCAAAAUUCUUCUGCGUGCCAACCCUAAUUUUUUGAGAACAUGUUAACACCUACUUGAUAUCU